rnacentral:tRNA from 5 species
GCCCUCGUAUCCCAAUUGGCAGAGGAAACGGAUUCAAAACCCGUCCAGUGUGAGUUCGAGUCUCACCGAGGGCAC